rnacentral:lncRNA from 1 species
GCGCGCAUCCAGUCCCUUAUGAAGAAUUUUAAUUUCUUGCAAGAGUGGGUGCUUCAGGGUACUGAGCUGAGAAGGCAGGGGCUCUAUUUAUAGCUGGUGUUCGAGCCUUUGUGGGUUUUGUGAGUAUGCGAGAGAUGUACAGCUGUGCCACGCGGGCUCUGCUGAGCUGAAAACUCUUCAUGGCAGUAAGAAUAGGGGAUGGCUUUGGUUAUUUAACUGCUCAGUUGGAAUAAAGCAGCUGACGUCUACUGAGAUGCUGCAGGCUCCGGCCUGCUCUGUGCACGUCUGUCCCUGCGAGGUGUCUCAGGUAAACCUACUGAGAGCAGCACUUCAAGAAACCUGAAGAGGAGAAACAUCGAGGUGGACAGGUCUCCAACACCAUCUGUGCUCACACCUCCCUCGUGCCACAGUCACGCAGAGGCGAACACCACCGAGGAAUAUUUAUUUUCUAGAGGGGAAACAGUCCGAGCAGAAAACCCAGACUACUCUGACUAUUCCUUCCUGGUAAGAGGUAAGAUUUCUUAAGUGUAAAGGUAAAUACUAACCCUAAGUCUCGCUCUCACCUCUCACUUUCUAAUGUGGAGGUGCUCAAAAUCUAUUGGAGAUCCCCACAUAACUGGAGUUUUCCUUUAAGGAAAAACCUUUUCCUUUCCACUGAUGCUUUUCCUUUGCAUCAGUGCAAAGACCUUUUCCGUUAUAGUACGGAAUUGCUCAGAAUAAUCUGUAGAGAAGAAAAAAUUUUGCUGAAAUAAGUUGGGAUGUUGCUUAUUUUCAGGGAAUUAGUGUGAAAUGAGGACUGUCUCUUAAAUUUCUGCUGGAUCAUGUCUUCCUUCAAUUUUGUUUAACAAAAAUUAAUAUGGUAUUUUAAAUUUCACCUUGCUGUUGCAUGUAAGCCACUGCUCUGCCAGCGAGUCAAAUAAGGAAAAGUCUUAAAAGUAAUUCACUUUCAGAAAUAUGCACUUGUUACUUUUUAGAUAUUGAUAUUUUCAACUCCCAGUUUCAUGCUUAUCUGAAGAAAUG